rnacentral:lncRNA from 1 species
AACUCUGGGCCCAUGCCCUAGGCAAUGUCACUCUCCUCUUUCGCCUGGGCCCUCUCCUUAGUGGGGAUUGUGACAUAUUACUUCUCCUAGCACCUAGGCGAUGGAACUUCCUCUCAUGCCCGGGCCCUGCCUAUGUGAGUGAUUGAAUAGAUGGCUAGACGCAGCCUCUAUAUUAUGCCACUCUCUUCUUCCUGAGCUCUACCCACAAAGGAAAGAUUGUGGCAUAUUACUGAACUAAGCAACCUAGUGACGUGUCUCUUCUGACUGGGGCUUGCCCACAGAGACAACUGUGACAUAGCACUGAGCCCAGGACCCAGGUGAUGUGACUCUGCUGCCUGUUUCCAACAUUCAUGAGAGGAUGGUAACUAUCCCUUGCCAAGAACUCAGGUGAUUUGACUGUCCUGCCUUGUUGCUGCCCUCAGAGAAGAUUGUGAUAUAUCUUCAGCCCCAAACCCAGACUUUCCUGCAGGAGUGAUGCUGACAUGUUCCUCUAUUUGGCAUCUGAGUGAUAUGACUCUUGCCAUGGUCUAGCCCACAGAUGGAAUUGUGAUGUGUUGCUGUACCCAGCACCUAGGUGAUGUAACUCCAUUUUUCUGCCUUGGCAUUGCUCACAAAAGGUAUUUUGACAUAUCUCUGGGGUAUGUACCCAGGUUUCAUGACUCUCUUGCCUGUGCCCUGUCCACAAAUUGUCAUGAAAUAUUGCUGGGUCCAACACCCAGGGAUGUAACUCUCAUGCCUAGGCCCUGCCAACAGGGGGAAUUGUGACAAAUCUGUGUCAAUAACCCAGGUUAUGUGACUCUCUUUUUUUGCCUGGUCCCUGCUCACAGAGGGCAUUAUGACAUAUUGCUGAACUCAGCACCUAACUGAUGUGAUUCUCCUUUCUAGUUUUUGCCCACAGGGGAGAUUGUGACAUAUCACUGGGCCUCAAACUAAGGUGAAGUUACACUUUCAUUUUCGAACUGUACUCAGAAGGCAUCGUGACAUAUUCCUGGGCCCAGCACCAAGGUGAUGUGAGUCUCCUGCCUGCACUUUGCCCACAAAUGGCAUUGUAACAUAUCUUUAGACCUAUCAACUACUUGAUAUGACUUAUUUUUUUAAAGUGAAAGCAAGUUUAUUAGAGAAGUAAAUAAACAAAAGAAUGGCUACUCCAUAGACAGAGAAGACCUCAGGGCUGCUCAUUGGCUCUUUUCAUGGUUAUUUCUUGAGUACAUACUAAACAAGGGAUGGAUUAUUUGUGAGUUUUCCAGGGAAAGGAUGGGCAAUUUCCAGAACUCAGGGUGCCUUCC